UUGGGGACCGCUGUGUCCCGGGAUGGGAACCCGGGCCGAGCUCCGCGGCCGCAGACAGUGAGCCGGUCUGCGCGGGCAAGGGCACCGGGGUCAGGAGCCCCCGCCCCGAAGCCGGACAUGGAGCCGCAGCUUGGCGGGGAAGGGACACUGUGACCAGCUCUGAGCAGUGCCAUGGUAUCAGGCUGUGAGCCCAGGCCCAGGCCUUGUCCCAGCUCCCCAAGCAUCACGAUCCUGCAGCUGCCUCACCCUCCAGGCAAAGGCUUCUGCGACUCUGCCUGCCUCUGUGGGUGCUUCUAGCUGUCGCCAGGUCUGGCCCUCUGUGUGUCCCAGUGUGUGAGCCUGGAGUUGUGCACAGCGUCCCUUCAUUGCCCUCUUGAAUAUUUAGUUUCAGCAGCAGUGACCUCCGUCAUUUCCAGAGGAGAGAUAGUCACAGUGCAGGAAUCUACACUUCUCUGGGGCUGCAACAACGCUCUGCAGAGACCCAGUGUGAUCUCGCUGCGUCUCAUCAUGGAAACAGAGUCUCUGUGCCUCCCAGUUGCCGGCAGAUGGGGCGAGCGUCAGUGUGGCCAUGGGCUGAAGCAGGGACAAUGCUGGCAAUGCAUCCAGGAUGGUGAGUCAGAGCAGUGACCGUGCUCAGAUGACAGUGGGGCAGAGAUCACAGCUACCCUUCCUGUGAGAGCCCCUCCAGGAUCAUACUGGGACCCAAGGACCUUCGGGUAGGGCGAGUGUGCCCAGUGACACUGGCCCAGCACCUCCUUCCUGGGACUGAGGCAGCUGUGGAAGUCCUGUUUGAGACAUACAAGCCAGCUCCUGCUUGCUUCUGCUGAGGUGCUUCUGCAUCUCCAAAGAGAUGGACCUAUUUCCCAUCUUUGAAACAUGACCUGGUCUAACAGCUUGUGGGGUGCAAGGGGGGGUAUAGUUGAGGUUCCCUGUUUAGGCAGGGGCUGUGCACCCUGUGCCACUGCCAUGUCGAGAGUGGUGUCUCCUGGACCCAUAGCCUAGGGGACAUCCUGCUGGAUGUCAGGGGCAACAUGAGAGCCAGUAAGUUGGGAUUGGGCACCAAGCUUCCUUGGGGAGAAGCUGGUUCUGGUCUGUGGCUCUGUCCUGUCCUGUCCCCCAGAAAUGUUGUCGGUCAAGGAGAGUGACAACCUUGAGGCAUACAUUUAAAACCUGGGAUUGUCCUGUUCUCCUUGCUGUUUCCUGUGGAUGCCCUUUUGGAGAUGCAGGUGAAGAGGGUCCUGGACAGAUGGGCAUCCUCCUGCCAACCCUCCCUGGACACACAAAGCCUUCUCGGCCAGCUUCUCACUCUGAACCCCAGGCACAGGCCUAUGCUUGAGAACACCCUGGGGGACGCAUUCCCUCUCACACUUUACUAGAGAUGUCUUCCGAUUGUCUAUACCUUGGACUCAGAGGGUCACAUCUUCCAUAGGUUGUGGGUGACCCUCUGGAGAUGACAGAUGAGACUGAUGACUUCCUGGCCCUGUGGCUCCUGUUGGAAAGCCAGACACACUGGGGCAUAGGUCAGGCCUUCCAUGUGUGCCCACCACCCCAGGAAUGUACCCCCUCAGCUCACUUCCUAAGAGGAGGCCCAGCAACCUUGCCACGUACCCCAAACCCUUCCAGCACCCUGUUUGCCUCUGCAGCCGACAGAGGGGGACCCUGUCUCAGCAAAGCUGCAGCCUCUGCUGGCUGUAAGAGCCAUAAGAACGACUUGUGCUGUCACUUGUGCCUGCGUUUGGACCCUUUGCUGCUACUGCUGGUCAACCAGCCAGCAGGGAACACACACCCUGGGUAUAGAACAAAGGUACUAGACAGUAGAAAUGUGGACAGGAGGUGAGAGUGCGGUCCAGCAGGGUGCAUAAUGU